UACGAAGGGUGCAAGCGUUACUCGGAAUUACUGGGCGUAAAGCGUGCGUAGGUGGUUUGUUAAGUCUGUUGUGAAAGCCCCGGGCUCAACCUGGGAAUGGCAAUGGAUACUGGCAGGCUAGAGUGCGGUAGAGGGUAGUGGAAUUCCCGGUGUAGCGGUGAAAUGCGUAGAGAUCGGGAGGAAUACCAGUGGCGAAGGCGGCUACCUGGACCAGCACUGACGCUGAGGCACGAAAGCGUGGGGAGCAAACAGG
rnacentral:rRNA from 1 species